GACGAACGCUGGCGGCGUGCUUAACACAUGCAAGUCGAACGGAAAGACCCUGCUUUUGUGGGGUGCUCGAGUGGCGAACGGGUGAGUAACACGUGAGUAACCUGCCUUUGACUUUGGGAUAACUUCAGGAAACUGGGGCUAAUACCGGAUAGGAGCUCCUGCUGCAUGGUGGGGGUUGGAAAGUUUCGGCGGUUGGGGAUGGACUCGCGGCUUAUCAGCUUGUUGGUGGGGUAGUGGCUUACCAAGGCUUUGACGGGUAGCCGGCCUGAGAGGGUGACCGGCCACAUGGGGACUGAGAUACGGCCCGGACUCCUACGGGAGGGAGGAGUGGGGAAUAUUGCACAAUGGGCGGAAGCCUGAGGGAGCAACGCGCGUGCGGGAUGACGGCCUUCGGGUUGUAAACCGCUUUCGCCUGUGACGAAGCGUGAGUGACGGUAAUGGGUAAAGAAGCACCGGCUAACUACGUG
rnacentral:rRNA from 1 species